CCUACGGGUGGCUGCAGUGGGGAAUAUUGGACAAUGGGGGCAACCCUGAUCCAGCCAUGCCGCGUGUGGGAAGUAGGCCCUCGGGUUGUAAAGCACUUUCAGUGAGGAAGAACGCCUGGUGGUUAAUACCCAUCAGGAAAGACAUCACUCACAGAAGAAGCACCGGCUAACUCCGUGCCAGCAGCCGCGGUAAUACGGAGGGUGCGAGCGUUAAUCGGAAUUACUGGGCGUAAAGCGCGCGUAGGUGGCUUGAUAAGCCGGUUGUGAAAGCCCCGGGCUCAACCUGGGAACGGCAUCCGGAACUGUCAAGCUAGAGUGCAGGAGAGGAAGGUAGAAUUCCCGGUGUAGCGGUGAAAUGCGUAGAGAUCGGGAGGAAUACCAGUGGCGAAGGCGGCCUUCUGGACUGACACUGACACUGAGGUGCGAAAGCGUGGGUAGCAAACAGGAUUAGAUACCCGUGUAGUC
rnacentral:rRNA from 1 species